rnacentral:rRNA from 1 species
CCUACGGGAGGCAGCAGUCGGGAAUAUUGCACAAUGGAGGAAACUCUGAUGCAGUGACACCGCGUAUAGGAAGAAGGUUUUCGGAUUGUAAACUAUUUUAGACAGGGAAGAAAAAAGACAGUACCUGUAGAAUAAGCUCCGGCUAACUACGUGCCAGCAGCCGCGGUAAUACGUAGGGGGCAAGCGUUAUCCUGAUUUACUGGGUGUAAAGGGAGCGUAGACGGCAUAGCAAGUCUGAAGUGAAAGCCCGUGGCUCAACCGCGGAACUGCUUUGGAAACUGUUAAGCUGGAGUACUGGAGAGGCA